UAGUAUGGGGAUCUGCCCGAUAGAGGGGAAUAACUACUGGAAACGGUGGCUAAUACCGCAUAAUGUCUACGGACCAAAGCAGGGGCUCUUCGGACCUUGCACUAUCGGAUGAACCCAUAUGAGAUUAGCUAGUAGGUGGGGUAAAGGCUCACCUAGGCGACGAUCUCUAGCUGGUCUGAGAGGAUGAUCAGCCACACUGGGACUGAGACACGGCCCAG
rnacentral:rRNA from 1 species